CUUUGCAACAAAAUCUUUAUUACUUAUCAAAUGUGGAUUUCUGACGUCAUAAAUACUCAGUUGUGCAGAAAAUCCCUUUGCAAAAAUUAUGUGUUUGAAUUAUAGAAACGCCAUUUUAAAUCUUUGAACAAAAAUGCCAUUCAAACUUGAAAAAAUUGGAGUGAAACGUCCAUGGAGAUGUGUUAUAUAAUAAUUGAUUCGUGUUUUGAAGCUGUAAAUAAUUUUUUAUGUUGAAAAUUACUUGGCGUUACUUGACGAUAAAGGAUCUACGAUAGGAUUUGCCCAUGGGAAGGAGUUGGAGAUGGCGUCCAAACCAACGGUAGCCCAUUAUUGAUUACCUAUACCCCAGUGCAAUCGCAUUUAGUUAUUUCGUAGAAGAGACGAAAUACAUUUUGGUGCAAUGUUUGUGUCUACAUCCUGUAUAAUUCUAUCAACUUUAGAUUUUUCGAUAAUGCCAGGUUAGAAUUCAAGGACUCAUUACUCUGAAAGAGUUUAAUGUUUUUGCAUUUAUUUAUUUAUUUAUUUAAUUUCCGAUUUGCAAACUUAAAGGAAAUGACUCAAUUAGAUUCGAAACUUAAUAUCUGAAGUGACGUCAAACAGAUAAUAACUUAUUGCGUUCUAUGAACAAUUUCAAAUUUUAUAAAAAAAAUAUCAAUAAUUAAAAUUGAUAUGUAGGAAAUUCUUUAGCAUAUAAUAUUUCGCUUUGGUGUGUAAAUUUACAUUGAAAGAAAUCAAUGUUCGAGAGUCGAACAGUGCAGUUUUUAUAAUGAAAUAAAAAUAAAAAUAAAAUUGAAAUUUCAAGGUUUUUCGGUGACGAUAAAAGGUAGGUCAUAGAUCAAUGAAGACUGGCGUGGCAACAUUUGUUACAGAUGCAGAGUUUGAAUUUUGAAUAAAAGAGGUGAUUGUUUAAUAUAGGUUAAUCAUAAAAUAGAUUUCGAUCACACAGGAUAGUAUUUAUGAUACUCGCUUAUAGUUCGGAUCAUAGAGAAUGUCAAGGUUUUGGAACUUCGCCAGUUAGGCGAGUGAAUGACUUGAUCCAAGGACGGUUGUGAUUUCUGUAAUAACGUCGAUAACGGACAUUGGAUGAUCGUGAAUGAGAAAUGGGGGUCACAAUAAAAUUAAAAGAAGAAUAUUGCUAUACAUUUAUAUACACGUGUAUCGAUUUUAGGAAAUUCUGUACUUAAUAUGCCUUAUUUGGCACAUGCGUGACGAAAAAGUCGUGAUUUUAAUGUAAUGAGAAGUUGCGUUUCUUAAAAAAGAAAAAAA